rnacentral:rRNA from 1 species
UGGUACCACCUGACCCCAUGCCGAACUCAGAAGUGAAACGCCGUAGCGCCGAUGGUAGUGUGGGGUCUCCCCAUGCGAGAGUAGGGAACUGCCAGGC